GACGAACGCUGGCGGCGUGCCUAAUACAUGCAAGUAGAACGCAGUUGCGAACGGGUGAGUAACGCGAAGGUAACUGCCUCAUAGCGGGGGAUAACUAUUGGAAACGGUAGCUAAUACCGCAUACUGUGAGAUGGACCUUCGUUGUAUUAGCUAGUUGGUGAGGUAAAGGCUCACCAAGGCGACGAUCCAGAGCCGACCUGCGAGGGUGAUCGGCCACAGUGGGACUGAGACACGGCCCAGACUCCUACGGGGUGCAGCAGUGGGGCAUAUUGGACAAUGGGCGAAAGCCUGAGCCAGCCAUGCCGCGGGUGUGAAGAAGGUCUUCGGAUUGUAAAGCACUUUAAGUUGGGAGGCGUUACCAACAGAAUAAGCACCGGCUAACUUCGUGCCAGCAGCCGCGGUAAUAC
rnacentral:rRNA from 1 species